rnacentral:misc_RNA from 1 species
AGAAACAGAUGCCUCAAAUGCAAACAUGUGAAAAAUGAAGGUGGCAAUUUGAAUUGUCUCGGAAGUUUAAGAACAAGGUGUUGGAUUCUGUUUCGAGAGAGGAAAUAUAAUAAGUUGUCAAUAGGAGGGUAGAUUUCCCAAUACUGAAUGCAAAGGGUAAACUUUGUAAGUGGUCCUGAAUGGCGGGUGAUAAUGUUGUGGAUAGUCAUUGUAAAGUUACUGGUAGCUCUUUUAUCACCUGUAAGGUCCUUUUUAGAUUUCCAA